rnacentral:rRNA from 1 species
GUCUAUGGCCAUGCCACCCUGUACAAGCCCAAUGUCUGAUCUUGUGAAACUAAGCAGGAUCGGGCCUGGUUAGUACUUGGAUGGGAGACCACCUAGGAAGACCAGGUGCUGUAGACA